AAUGAAAGUAUUAUGAAGUUAUAUAUUCCUUUAUUUUUGGCAAUUGCCAUUAUUAUUGUUUCAAUCUGUAUGCAACCUGCAUGCAGCAAAAAAGUAAAAAUAAGAAAUUUUCGAAAACAAGAAAUUGCGAAUUCAAGUGAAUUUAACGUGGAAGAACCAGUAGUGACAGAAAAACCAAAACAUGCAUAUACACCAAAAGUAAGUAAACGGCCAAUGAAGUCAAAAAAGCCAAAAAAGCCAAAAAAGCCAAAGAAACCAGAAAGAUCACGAGGAUAAAAAAGAUAAAGAUUAAAUAAACAAUAACAGCAGUGUAAAAUUAUACAUUAAUUAAAAAUAAUUCAAAAAAUACAAA